rnacentral:rRNA from 1 species
AUUGAACGCUGGCGGCAGGCUUAACACAUGCAAGUCGAGCGAGCGGCGGACGGGUGAGUAAUGUCUGGGACACUGCCCGAUGGAGGGGGAUAACUACUUGAAACGGUAGCUAAUACCGACUACCAUAUGAUGUGCCCAGAAUGGAUUAGCUAGUAGGUGGGGUAAUGGCUCACCUAGGCGACGCUCCCUAGCUGGUCUGAGAGGAUGACCAGCCACACUGGAACUGAGACACGGUCCAGACUCCUACGGGAGGCAGCAGUGGGGAAUAUUGCACAAUGGGCGCAAGCCUGAUGCAGCCAUGCCGCGUGUAUGAAGAAGGCCUUCGGGUUGUAAAGCACUUUCAGCGGGGAGGCGUUACUCGCAGAAGAAGCACCGGCUAACUCCGUGCCAGCAGCCGCGGUAAUAC